GGAUUGUGGCUCAGUGGUAGAGCACUUGCCUAGCAUGCAUGAGGCACUGGGUUCUAUCCUGGCACCA
rnacentral:tRNA from 1 species